rnacentral:rRNA from 1 species
GACGAACGCUGGCGGUGUGCUUAACACAUGCAAGUCGAACGGAAAGGCCCUGCUUUUGUGGGGUGCUCGAGUGGCGAACGGGUGAGUAACACGUGAGUAACCUGCCCUUGACUUUGGGGAUAACUUCAGGAAAACUGGGGCUAAUACCGGAUAGGAGCUCCUGCUGCAUGGUGGGGGUUGGAAAGUUUCGGCGGUUGGGGAUGGACUCGCGGCUUAUCAGCUUGUUGGUGGGGUAGUGGCUUACCAAGGCUUUGACGGGUAGCCGGCCUGAGAGGGUGACCGGCCACAUUGGGACUGAGAUACGGCCCAGACUCCUACGGGAGGCAGCAGUGGGGAAUAUUGCACAAUGGGCGGAAGCCUGAUGCAGCAACGCCGCGUGCGGGAUGACGGCCUUCGGGUUGUAAACCGCUUUCGCCUGUGACGAAGCGUGAGUGACGGUAAUGGGUAAAGAAGCACCGGCUAACUACGUG